GGAGCUGUGCCUGAACAAAGGGUCACUUUGAUAGAGUGGAUAAUGAGGGCUAAUAAUCCCUCCACGCUCCC
rnacentral:tRNA from 1 species